UACAUAAUUGGGUCCCUCAUGUUCCUGUAGCUGAUUAAAAUAAUGGUGUUGAUGCUAGAGAAAGAUCAGUGGAUGGGAGAUGCAGUUCCCAUAUGGAUAUCUCAGUGAAGUACUCCAAACUUCAAGAAAGGAAAUAAGAGAAGAAGACUACAGCAACAACGUUGUUGCAAAGAGCUCGGAAACACUGCAAGAGGGCAAUAUGGUUUGAAACAGUAUGGAUUCCUAUUUGAAAUUUGCCGGUUUAUCUCUAGGUGUGAAUCAUGUUUGUAUACUUCAUAGUGCUGACAUUACUUGG